UGAAGACUUUAGCUUGCUAAAGUUGGAAGAGUUGCGAACGGGUGAGUAACGCGUAGGUAACCUGCCUACUAGCGGGGGAUAACUAUUGGAAACGAUAGCUAAUACCGCAUAACAGCAUUUAACCCAUGUUAGAUGCUUGAAAGGAGCAAUUGCUUCACUAGUAGAUGGACCUGCGUUGUAUUAGCUAGUUGGUGAGGUAAUGGCUCACCAAGGCGACGAUACAUAGCCGACCUGAGAGGGUGAUCGGCCACACUGGGACUGAGACACGGCCCAGACUCCUACGGGAGGCAGCAGUAGGGAAUCUUCGGCAAUGGGGGCAACCCUGACCGAGCAACGCCGCGUGAGUGAAGAAGGUUUUCGGAUCGUAAAGCUCUGUUGUAAGAGAAGAACGUGUGUGAGAGUGGAAAGUUCACACAGUGACGGUAACUUACCAGAAAGGGACGGCUAACUACGUGCCAGCAGCCGCGGUAAUACGUAGGUCCCGAGCGUUGUCCGGAUUUAUUGGGCGUAAAGCGAGCGCAGGCGGUUUAAUAAGUCUGAAGUUAAAGGCAGUGGCUUAACCAUUGUUCGCUUUGGAAACUGUUAGACUUGAGUGCAGAAGGGGAGAGUGGAAUUCCAUGUGUAGCGGUGAAAUGCGUAGAUAUAUGGAGGAACACCGGUGGCGAAAGCGGCUCUCUGGUCUGUAACUGACGCUGAGGCUCGAAAGCGUGGG
rnacentral:rRNA from 1 species